UCCAAAACAGAAAAGGUAUUAGAAAAGGGAUUAUCACAAGAAGAAGAGGGGAGGGCAAGGGUUUUGGUAGAGUAGUAAGAGAGCUGGGCCAUGAAGGAGGGAAAGGGUUUUUGGUCAGGAUCAGAACGUGGUCUUUUUAGAGAGGGGGUGAUAAAGGUAUCAGGUGGGCUUUUUGAGGGAGAUGGGAUGACAGCAAGGAGGUGAGAAGAGGCCAGGGGGGUAGCGUUUUUUUGAGUCGGAGUUUUGGGUGGCUGAGAGUGAAUGGGAGGGGCAGGAGGGUCAGGAUUAGGUGGGACACUGGAGGUGGAAGCUUGAAGGAAAGUGGUUGAUGAUGGUGAGGAGGUGGUUUUUUCAGGUUUUUUAGAAGUAGGUGUUUCCGAAGGCACAUUUUUCCCUUUUUGAGAUGCUGAUUGUGUUUGUUGUGUUUUCUUUGCAGGAACAUCCGAAGGUUUCGGAGGUGGAGGAGCCUGGAGACAGUUACGAGCUACAUGACCAAGCUCCUUGCAGAAAGAGCAGGUUGGUGGUACCCAGGGAUAUGACACUUGAACCUCAACUACUUCACCACUCUGUCGCACAAACUCAACUACGCUUGGGAGCGGUUUAGUGAGGUUUACAGCAACUUUUACGUGUGAUAGGGUCAGACUAACCAAAUUUUUUGUGAAGUCAUCCGUUUCCUUGGGUUCUCCCACCAAACCCGCAACCAGACUCAAUCCUUGUUGGUGGCGGAGGUCUAAAGGAACGCCAGUCAAGUGAGCCCAAAUCUGGAUAGAUUCAAGUGUUGGUGGUGAAGCUGAGACUGAGGAGGACCACUGGACCGCAUGGAACAUGGACUCACCGACAUACCACACAGAUUUCUCAAGUAUUUUCCGCCUUAGGUAAUCUGAAGGUAUUCUCACCAACAUGGAUCUGGAUAAGGGGUUAGUAUGAAUCUCUACACGCUUUCCUUUUCCCCACAUAUGGUUGAGGACACUCUGAACUUGAUUGAAAGGAGGGGGUCUUCCAUUAAAGUAGCAGAUUAUGAAAUCUUUGUGUAUUUCAGCUCCUUUCUGAAAGACACUGUCCGGAAUGAGAACUCUAGGAAUUCCUUUAUCCGACAAAGUGACCGGAGCAAGGCGCUUCAAAGACUUAUCCUCUAGUUUUCUUAUUUUCUCCAGUAGAGGGGUGUUGGUGGGAAACGGAGGAGGUACAGAUUGAGUUGGGUCAAUAGGUGUAGAGGUAGCAGGGGGUGGGUUAUUUAUGAUGGGUGGAGGGGUGUUUGAUUGUGGAAAUGUUUCCGAGUGGCUAAAGGGGGCGGAAGUUUCAUUUGCUGCAGGCAAGGUUGAAGAUGGUUGAACAGUGGUAGGGUUUACUGUAGCAAUCAAUUUGGGGUUUUGGUUUGAGGAUGGGUUGGUUGGAAAGAUAGUGGAGCCGCUAGAUGCUUUAUUAGUUUGGAUAGGAGAGGAGUGUUUGGGUUGAAGGAUUUUGAAGUUCAAAGGUGCAGAGCUUCCAGAGUUGGAAACAGUAGAUUUAGAGAAGCUAGUCGAAGAAGAAGCUGGUCCGGUGAGCUUGGAACCAGCAGCAGUUUUUGGGGUGAAGGAUUUCGUCGCUGGCCUUGAGGGUUUGCCAGUUUGCGAUGAAAAUCGAGGGGAUUUGGGAGGAACAGAACCGAGGGGAGGGAAAUCGGGGUCGGGAGGGUCAGGGGGGAUUGGGGGAGUGAGGAUGGAGCUAUCACCAGUAGUGAGACGCGGCGGAGACAGGGCGGAGACGCCGUUGGGUGGGAACCAGGGGUUCGCCAUUUUCUCUCGUUUUUUUCUUUUACUUGAUAAAUCAUCUUCUUCAUUGACGAGAAGAAUCUAUGAAAGUGCAUUCUAGGAUGGCUGCCUCGCUUUAAAACCCAUCUACUGUAAGGGUUCGUUGUCUUCAAGCUUUCUACUCUCAGUUGUAAAAACCAUUUUUCUUCAAAUCUUCAUAUGGAUUCUCUCAAUUUUUCUUUUCCGAUCGACAUGAACGAUUAUAUACAUAAAUUUUCUGACAGAAACCAUCAGUUAUCGGUAAUUUCUGACAUAAAACUCCGACAACAUUUCGUCCACUUUUCUAAGGUCUCUCCGAGAAAAUAAUCCAUUGUCGGAGCACUGAUUGUUCUGAGGGAUUACCGACAAUAAUUUCUUAGAACAUUACGUACGAUUAACCCAGUUCAUCGAAAUUUAUUUUAUAUGCGGCAAGAUAUUGACAAUAUGUUUUUGAGAGAACACCUAGAUUCCGAAGUAAUUCAUAUAUUCUCGAAAAAUUAUCAUAAACCCCAUCGAAUCUUUCCGAAGAUAGAAGUUCUUGGUAAUUGUCCCCGGAGUGAACAAUGAUUUUUCUUGUAGUGAAUGAUUUGGGAAGAAAUAAAAAAAAAUGGAUCAGAAAUCAGAAAAAAACUAAUCAGAAAUCAGGAAUCAUAAAAAUAUGAGAAAAGCAGAAAUAGUUAACUGGUUAUUAAACAGAGGAAGAGAUGCAAACCAAGGGUCACAACUCCAUCAGACUUAAUGCUUCAUUAACGACACGAAGCUUGGUAGCGUCGUCUUCUUCAAAACAAAAGGUAAGUCUAAUCUCAACCUUUAGAUUAAAAAGUGUGCAAUUUCAACCAUUGGAUUAAGUUCUAUUUUUUAAAUAGAUGACAUCACCUAAAGAAAACAGAGCCCUUGGAUUGAAUACCAAAUCAAUCUGAAACGUCAGAUCUUCUUCUUUUUAUUCCUAUAAAAAAAAAUGACACCUGCAGAUUCUAUAACUAAGUCACCGUAUGUAAUGUUCCAAUAGUAGCGGGAGAUUUUUAGUAGAUAAGCUUCAAAUCUAUUACACUCACGACUUUCGAGUCAAGUUGAUUAGGCAAAUAUCAAAAUAGCACAUUAUUAAGUUUAUGUCACAAAAUGUCAUUCAAAAACUAAAAUGACAAAAAUAGCAUUUUAUCUUUUGAAAAAUUUAAUUUUUUUUUAUUUUUCAAAAUUUGAAAUCUUAUCCCAAAACCCCACUCUCCAACUCUAAACCCUAAACUCUAAAUCUUAAACUCCACCCCUUAACUUUAAACCCUAAACCCUAAAUCAUAACUUUAAACCCUAAACCCUAAAUCAUAAACUCCAAGUUGCUGAACUUAGCCAACAGAACUAUGAAGAUAGCACCAUGAAACAGAGCCAUCACCGAGUCGACCAAGAUCCUACUUGGACUUAGAUCUUCUUCGAAGCUGAUGUGUGUGGUAUAUAGGCGUAUAGCUACCACCAUAUUCUCCCAUACUAACGUAAUAGUAGUACGAUUUGUCAGCAAGUCCAAUCAGAGAUAUUAUGUAUCUACAGUUCGAUGCUGCUAAGAAAAAAUUAAAAAAUCUGAAAUUUUUCUGUGGAUAGUAAAUCAAGAGAAUAGAAUCAGUAUGUUUAUAUCUUAUUCAUAAACAUAAAAAACUCUUUAUAUAUAGGAAAUUACACCGUCAUAAAAUAAUGGAAAGAGUAGAGAAAGGAAAUACAAAUAUGGAAAUAGUACAAAUAAUAAACUAAUAAAGAAAAUGGAAACUAGGGUUUCUCUCUCUCCGGCCACCGGCUCUCUCUCUCUCUCUAGGGCGCGGCCGUCUCUCUCUCUCUCUAGGUAAUGGACCGGACCGGUUAUGGACAUCCACAAUAUGAUUUAUAACACUCUCCCUUGGAUGCCAUAACCAUACAGAGUUUGUAAUACGCUUUAGAUGUUGCCUCAUUAAAACCUUACCAGGAAAACCCAGUGGGACAAAACCAUGGUGAAGAAAAAAAGAGUACAACAUGUAUUACUCCCUCUGUUCUGAACAUCACUGAAGGUCUUUCAGUCUACGCAUCCCAAUCUGAUGCGUGAGCUUCCUGAACGUGCAGGUAGGAAGUGAUUUGGUGAACCGGUCGGCUGAGUUGUCACUGGAACGCACUUGGACGACUUGGACCUCGCCGGCUUUCUGAAGCUCGUGCGUGAAGAAGAACUUAGGCAGUAUGUGCUUCGUCCGGUCUCCUUUGAUGUAGCCAUCCUUAAGCUGAGCAAUGCAAGCUGCAUUGUUCUCAUACAUCACGGUUGGUGCGUCCAUGCCUUCGGUCAUCCCACAAUCAACUCGGAUAUGGUUGGUCAUCGAACGUAACCACACAGACUCGCGGCUGGCCUCGUGAAUAGCCAAGAUUUCCAAAUGGUUUGAUGAAGUGGCCGCGAUUGUCUGCUUCAUGGAACGCCAUGAGAUGCCCGUACUACCAUGAGUAAAGACGUAGCCGGUCUGUGAUCGAGCAUUGUGAGGAUCCGAGAGAUAACCUGCAUCAGCAUAGACAACUAAUCCUUCUUUGUUAUGGUUAGUAUAAAAUAAACUCAAGUCUUUCGUUCCUUGCAGGUAACGAAGAAUAUGUUUAAUCCCGUCCCAGUGCCGUUGGGUUGGACAAGAGCUAAAUCUAGAUAAUAGAUUCACGGCAAAACAUAUAUCUGGUCGUGUGUGACUAGCCAGAUACAUCAAAGCUCCUAUGGCACUGAGAUAUGGCACUUCGGGACCAAUGACAUCUUCAUCGUCCAUCCUAGGACGAAAUGGAUCAGUGUCCAAGCCGAGAGACCUCACGAUCAUGGGGCUAGAUAAGCGGUGAGACUCGCCCAUGUUAAAUCUCCUGAGUAUUUUUCUGUAUAUGCCAUUUGAUGCACAAGGAUUCUAUUUCUUAUGAACUCAAGCUGUAAUCCCAAACAAAAUUUCGUUUUUCCUAGAUCUUUCAUCUCGAAUUCUUUCUUAAGAUAUUCAACUGUUUGGAAAUCUCUCCGGAGGUUCCUAGGAUAUUCAAAUCAUCAACAUACAUUGCUAUGAUUACAAAGCCCUGGCCGAAUUUCUUUAUAAAGAUACGAGGGCUGAUCGGAUCAUUCUUAUAUCCCUCUUUCACUAAGUACUCACUUAGUCUAUUGUACCACAUUAUGCCUGAUUGUUUCAAUCCAUAAAGUGAUUUAUUCAACUUUAUACAGUGUUGUUCUCGAGUACUCGAUUUGUUUUUCAACUCUAUACCCUCUGGUACUUUCAUAUAAAUCUCAUUAUCCAGUGGCUCAUAUAAGUAUGCAGUUACAACAUCCAUUAACCGCAAGUCUAAUUUUUCUCUUAUAGCCAGACUUAUCAGGAAUCUAAAAGUAGUAGCAUCCACCACAGGGGAGUAUGUCUCCUCAUAAUCUAUUCCUGGUCUACGCCUAGGUAACGGACUGGAAGGGCCCCUAACGGCAUGCCUGUUGAGAUUUGGAUCAGGUCUGUUUCCUGCGUGGAGAGACCAGAUGCAAAGAAAGAGGACUUCUGUACACUGACUGCCAGACCCGACCGAAGCUCGAACUCACGCAAUACCUGAAGGACCGCUUGAACCGAGCUGAGAGAACCAUCUAUAAAGAUAAGUAAGUCAUCAGCAAAGCAUAAAUGGGUUAGUUUGGAACCUUCACAUUUAUCAUGGUAAUUGAACUUCAUAUCUCUUGCAGCUUGGUUCAGCAUAAGGGAGAGAGUAUUCAUGGCAAUUACGAAUAGGUAUGGUGAGAGGGGGUCCCCUUGCUUGAGCCCCCGGGUACCUUUAAAAUAUCCAUUAACGAAGCCAUUGUAACCCACCGUAAAAUUCGUAUGACAGAUGCACGCCCUUAGCCAAGCCAAGAAUAAGGGAGGGACAUUGAUGGCUUGUAAACACGAGAACAAGAAAGGCCAGGAUAAGGUAUCGAAGGCUUUUGCUAUAUCCACUUUGAUAGUGAUUCUCUUUGACUGAUUGCUCUUGUGAUAUCCUUGAACCAGUUCACCAGCUAGAGAAGUAUUUUCCACCAGCAGCCUUCCUUUGACAAAGGCCGUUUGAUUUGGGACGAUCAGGUCAGGGAGAAUUGGCUUCAAUCUCUUCACUAGAAGUCUGGAGGUCACCUUAUAGAUAGUGUUAAGGCAGGAGAUGGGUCUGUAGUCUGUGAUCAAGGAAGCGCCAGAGUGCUUGGGAAUCAGCGAGAGAAUGGCAGCGUUAGUGGAGGCAGGCAUGAAACAGGAGAAGAAGAAAUGGCGUAUAGAGGCAGUAACUUCAGGCCCUAUGAUGCUCCAAGAAGCUUUAUAGAACCCAGAAGUUAGGCCGUCAGGCCCUGGCGCCUUGUCUUGGUUGAGCUUAAACAUGACCGUCUUUAUUUCUUCAUCUGUGGGGGCAUUAAGCAUCUGGGCAGAGAGGUCAGGUCAGCAGGUGAACUCUGUAAAAGACUGAAACCAUUGAGCAGAGGAGAUAAUUCCAAGGGGAGGCGCAGGGGAAGGUCCCAGUGUUGUUUGGAAGUGAGUAACUGCGUGCAGGCUCAUCUGGAUCGGGUCUGAAAUUAUCACACCAGAGGGCAACAGAAAGGAUCUUAUGAAAUUAAAAUUCAUGCGAGUUUGGACCAUUCUGAAGAAAAAGACGGUAUUCUGGUCUCCUGCCUUCGACCAGUUGACUCUAGAUCUCUGUUUAAAGUAAUUCUCCUCGAUUUCCCUCAAGAAGUUCCAUGUCUGAAACGCUUCCUUCUCCAUUUCAAACGUUUGAGUGGUUGGGUUAUUGAGCACUUGUACCUGCACAUCUAAAAGCACACGGUUAGCUUUACUCACUCUCACCUGAAUUUGUGAAAAGUUCUCUCUAUUUAAGUGUUUGAGAUCGUUCUUAAUCUGCUUUUGUUUCCAGUAUAAGGCGGUGAGGUUCCAGACAGUGUCUCCGGCCUGUGUCCACGCAUCAAGCACUACUUGGUGAAAGCUCGGGUGCUUUGUGAGGUAAUUAUAGAAUUUAAAGUGACGGUUUCCAGAGGCUGGGAUCUUUGUGGCUAGGUCAAGGGUGCAAGGGUUGUGGUCAGAGACUAGGGUUGGGUGGAAGAAGGCUGAACAGUUAGGGAACAGGUUGAGAACCGGGUUAUUGAUCAAGAGGCGGUCCAAUUUUUUUGCAAUAGGAUCCUCCGGUUGUCGAUUGGUCCAUGUGAACAGAGAUCCCUGGUACCUUAAGUCGUAGAGGCCCAUUUGUGUGAAGCAGUCCCUGAGUUCUAUCAUAUCAGGAGUAAGGGAGUUAACAUCAGGAAGAGAGUGCUCAGCUGGAUGUAUGAUUUGGUUAAAGUCUCCCCCUAGAACCCACGGAAUAGUGUCAAGAGAGUGGGAUUGAUAGAUAUCAAGAAGCUCCACCCAUAAAUCAGCACGGUCGACUCUCUCGUUGAAUGCGUAGAAAGAAGAACACAAACAGAGGAGAGCCAGGGAGCUUAACUUCACAUGAGACAGAUUGGCUAGAUUGCUUCAGGACCCGUACAGAGACUGUAUCCUUCCAGAUUAUAAUGAUCCGACCAUCCUCAUCUUCCGAGUGAUUAGAGGUAUAAUUCCAUCCUCUACAGACCUUGCUCAUCACAUAGUUUAGGUUGUGGGCCUUAAUAUGUGUCUCCAAAAUAGCACCAAAAAGUGGUUGAUAAGUAGAUAACCAGUUAGAAAAUGGCUUGUGCUUAUCCGGGUCAUUUAGGCCUCGGAUAUUCCAAAAAAAUAGUUUACUAUACAUAGAUAUUAGUCUAUGGUCUCUUCAUGGUGAAGAGAACCAUCAGGAUCCAAAACAGAAAAGGUAUUAGAAAAGGGAUUAUCACAAGAAGAAGAGGGGAGGGCAAGGGUUUUGGUAGAGUAGUAAGAGAGCUGGGCCAUGAAGGAGGGAAAGGGUUUUUGGUCAGGAUCAGAACGUGGUCUUUUUAGAGAGGGGGUGAUAAAGGUAUCAGGUGGGCUUUUUGAGGGAGAUGGGAUGACAGCAAGGAGGUGAGAAGAGGCCAGGGGGGUAGCGUUUUUUUGAGUCGGAGUUUUGGGUGGCUGAGAGUGAAUGGGAGGGGCAGGAGGGUCAGGAUUAGGUGGGACACUGGAGGUGGAAGCUUGAAGGAAAGUGGUUGAUGAUGGUGAGGAGGUGGUUUUUUCAGGUUUUUUAGAAGUAGGUGUUUCCGAAGGCACAUUUUUCCCUUUUUGAGAUGCUGAUUGUGUUUGUUGUGUUUUCUUUGCAGGAACAUCCGAAGGUUUCGGAGGUGGAGGAGCCUGGAGACAGUUACGAGCUACAUGACCAAGCUCCUUGCAGAAAGAGCAGGUUGGUGGUACCCAGGGAUAUGACACUUGAACCUCAACUACUUCACCACUCUGUCGCACAAACUC
rnacentral:lncRNA from 1 species